AAUAUUUCAUUGACGUAUAAGAUUAGCUAUACCAAUUAAACUACAUAUGGUAGCUCACACAUAUUGUGCAUAACGAACUAGCUUUAAUAAGCUUUUAAAAAGCUUAUCUCUCUAAGGCUAAUCCGAAAACACUUGCCCCAGUGUUUAAACCUUUCACAACACCAAUGUCCUAUAUUACAUUAGCUAGGAAACUAGGCCCUAGAAAAUAAGUAAAAGGGGUGGCAAAAAUGGUGCCAGCAGUCGCGGUUAUACCAGAUACCCCAAGUUAAUUAUAUCAAAUCGGGAUAAUUAUUAAUCUAAAGGACUACAAAACUAAUUUUUAACGUAAAAAAUAAAUCAAAACCAAACCCAAUUCAGUCAUUAUCUAAUUAUCCCAACAAACCACAACCCCAGAACUCGGAUUAGAUACCCGACUACUGCGUGGCUCAACAUAAAAAAAGAAUACUACGAGCGAAAGCUUAAACCUCAAACAAUGUGGCGGUGCUCUACUCCUUAUCAGGGGAUCCUGUAGCUUAAUUCGAUAAUCCACGAAAAUCUUAGCUAUUCUUGAAACUCAGCUUGUGUAUGGCCGUUUAUGCUUGCUCAAAGAAGAAAAAAAAGGAAGCAAUAGAACUAAUCAUUCAAAAAUUCAGGUGACAUACAGCCAAUGAAAAGCAGGUCUAUGGGAUACAAAUAAACAUACUAGCGAAUUUAAGGCUUCAAACCCUUAAUGAAGGAGGACUUGAAAGUAAGACUUACCUUACAUAAAAUAAAUCUGAAUAAGAACUAAAGCGCGCACAAAUCGCCCGUCACUCCGACAACAAAGUAGGAUAAGUCGUAACAUAGUAGGGGUAAUGGAAAUUGCCCCUAUCACA
rnacentral:rRNA from 1 species